CCCGGGGUGGCGGAACAGGCAGACGCACAGGAUUUAAAAUCCUGCGGUACGUGAGUACCAUACGGGUUCGCCCCCCCGUCCUCGGCA
rnacentral:tRNA from 1 species